UACGUAGGGGGCAAGCGUUGUCCGGAAUCAUUGGGCGUAAAGAGCGCGUAGGCGGCCAGAUAAGUCCGGUGUGAAAGUCACAGGCUCAACCUGUGAAUGCCGCUGGAAACUGUCUGGCUAGAGUCCGGUAGGGGCGAGUGGAAUUCCUGGUGUAGCGGUGAAAUGCGCAGAUAUCAGGAGGAACACCAAUGGCGAAGGCAGCUCGCUGGAACGGUACUGACGCUGAGGCGCGAAAGCGUGGGGAGCAAACAGG
rnacentral:rRNA from 1 species